CCAGGGAGGUGGAUUGUGAGUUGGAUGAGUGGCAGGGCUCAGAGCGUUCUGAUUGGUGGGGCAGAGUCCGGUUGGAGGCUGGUAGCUAGUGGAGUUCCCCAGGGCUCAGUACUCGGCCCAGUCUUGUUCAACUUGUUCAUCAAUGACCUGGACAA